AACGAACGCUGGCGGCGUGCCUAACACAUGCAAGUCGAGCGAGAAAGCCCGCAAGGGUGUGUACAGCGGCGCACGGGUGCGUAACACGUGGGUAAUCUGCCCUGAAGUCCGGAAUAACUCGCCGAAAGGCGUGCUAAUGCCGGAUGAGACCACGGGAGCUUCGGCUCCUGCGGGAAAAGGUGGCCUCUGUAUACAAGCUAUCACUUCAGGAUGAGCCCGCGGCCCAUCAGCUCGUUGGCGGGGUAAUGGCCCACCAAGGCUACGACGGGUAGCUGGUCUGAGAGGACGAUCAGCCACACUGGAACUGAGACACGGUCCAGACUCCUACGGGAGGCAGCAGUGGGGAAUCUUGCGCAAUGGGCGAAAGCCUGACGCAGCAACGCCGCGUGUGUGAUGAAGGUCUUCGGAUCGUAAAGCACUGUCGCGAGGGACGAAUAAGGGGCGGGCUAACAUCCCGUUCCGAUGACGGUACCUCGAGAGGAAGCACCGGCUAACUCUGUGCCAGCAGCCGCGGUAAUACAGAGGGUGCAAGCGUUGUUCGGAAUUAUUGGGCGUAAAGCGCGUGUAGGCGGCUUUGUAAGUUGGGUGUGAAAGCCCUCGGCUUAACCGAGGAAGUGCGCCCAAAACUGCAUGGCUUGAGUACCGGAGAGGGUGGCGGAAUUCCCGGUGUAGAGGUGAAAUUCGUAGAUAUCGGGAGGAACACCAGCGGCGAAGGCGGCCACCUGGACGGAUACUGACGCUGAGACGCGAAAGCGUGGGGAGCAAACAGGAUUAGAUACCCUGGUAGUCCACGCUGUAAACGAUGAGCGCUAGGUGUUGUGGGUGUUGACCCCUGCAGUGCCGCAGCUAACGCAUUAAGCGCCCCGCCUGGGAAGUACGGCCGCAAGGCUAA
rnacentral:rRNA from 1 species